rnacentral:rRNA from 1 species
CCUACGGGGGGCUGCAGUGGGGAAUAUUGGACAAUGGGCGAAAGCCUGAUCCAGCCAUGCCGCGUGUGUGAAGAAGGCCUUCGGGUUGUAAAGCACUUUCAGUGGGGAAGAAAGCCUUGGGGCUAAUACCCUCGAGGAAGGACAUCACCCACAGAAGAAGCACCGGCUAACUCCGUGCCAGCAGCCGCGGUAAUACGGAGGGUGCGAGCGUUAAUCGGAAUUACUGGGCGUAAAGCGCGCGUAGGCGGUCUGAUAAGCCGGUUGUGAAAGCCCCGGGCUCAACCUGGGAACGGCAUCCGGAACUGUCAGGCUAGAGUGCAGGAGAGGAAGGUAGAAUUCCCGGUGUAGCGGUGAAAUGCGUAGAGAUCGGGAGGAAUACCAGUGGCGAAGGCGGCCUUCUGGACUGACCCUGACGCUGAGGUGCGAAAGCGUGGGUAGCAAACAGGAUUAGAUACCCGUGUAGUC